AUUGAACGCUGGCGGCAGGCCUAACACAUGCAAGUCGAACGGUAACAGGAAGACGCUUGCUUCUUUGCUGACGAGUGGCGGACGGGCGAGUAAUGUCUGGGAAACUGCCUGAUGGAGGGGGAUAACUACUGGAAACGGUAGCUAAUACCGCAUAACGUCGCAAGACCAAAGAGGGGGACCUUCGGGCCUCUUGCCAUCGGAUGUGCCCAGAUGGGAUUAGCUAGUAGGUGGGGUAACGGCUCACCUAGGCGACGAUCCCUAGCUGGUCUGAGAGGAUGACCAGCCACACUGGAACUGAGACACGGUCCAGACUCCUACGGGAGGCAGCAGUGGGGAAUAUUGCACAAUGGGCGCAAGCCUGAUGCAGCCAUGCCGCGUGUAUGAAGAAGGCCUUCGGGUUGUAAAGUACUUUCAGCGGGGAGGAAGGGAGUAAAGUUAAUACCUUUGCUCAUUGACGUUACCCGCAGAAGAAGCACCGGCUAACUCCGUG
rnacentral:rRNA from 1 species